rnacentral:rRNA from 1 species
AUGUUUUGCAACCAUGACCUCAGUCCCUUCUUGAAGCCAGAGGCGGACCCUGAACGGUCGACACCUCCUUCAAUGGUCGACGGCCUGAAACCAGGGCAGAGGAAGGUUUUGUAUUCCUCCUUCAAGAAGAAUCUGGUUAAAGAAAUUAAGGUGGCAGAUUUUAUUGGUGAUAUUGUGUCAAAGCAAUCAGCGUACCAUGAUGACCAUGUUGAGCAGACUAGAGCACGGGUAGUUAUACUUACACGGAUGGCUCAAGAUUUUGUUGGCAGCAACAACAUUGCUCUUUUGGAGCCCCGCGGGCAGUUUGGUACCAGGAAUUCGGGGGGAGAAGACGCUAGUGAUGCCAUGUUCAUCUAUACCAGAUUAGCACCUAUCACCCGUUUAAUUUUUCCAAAGGAUGAUGAUGUUCUUCUCGAUUAUUUGAGUAAAUCUGGAAAGUCAAUCGAACCCAGUUGGUAUAUGCCAAUCAUUCCCAUGGUUUUAGUCAAUGGAAGUGGCAUUGGCACUGGAUCGAGUAGCUAUGUCCCAAACUACAACCCAAGAGACAUUAUCGCUAAUCUGAAAAGGUUGCUAAAUGAAGAGACUGUCGUGCCAAUGGACCCUUGGUACAAGGGGUUCAAGGAAAUACGGUGGCGAUGGAAUUAUGCGAAUGUGGAGUUUGACAUUUUCUUGGGUGAGCAAAACAUGAACAUUGCUAAGAAAGAAAGCCUCGAGAAGAAAUUCAAUCUGAUAACCACGAUAGGAACAUCAAACAUGCACUUGUUUGACUCGGAUGGUAAAAUUCGAAAAUAUGACACCCCAGAGGACAUACUUACAGAGUUCUUCAAACUGAGGCUCGAAUACUAUCGUAGAAGAAAGGAAGUAAUGUUGGAAAAUAUUGGGAAAGAGUUGUUGAAGCCUAAGAACCAAGUGAGGUUUAUUCUUGCCGUUAUUUCCGGGGACAUCGUAGUCAACAACAGAAAGAGGGCAGAGCUAUUCCUGGAGCUUAAACAGAAGGGGUAUGAGCCUUUCCCAAAGAGAAAAAAUACAGCUAAAGAAGUAGAUGAAGAAAAUGAUUAUGAGUAUCCUCUUGCAAUGCCAAUUGGUACCUUGAGUCUGGAGAAGGUACAGGAGCUUGUCGCACGGCAGAAGAAAUUAGAGGACGAACUUGAAAGUCUGGGGAAAGCAACUCCAGAAAUUCUUUGGAUGAGAGACCUUGCUGCUCUUGAAAACGAACUGGAUGUGCUUGAUGCAAAAGAAGCUGAACAGGAGACAAGACGUAGGCUGCAAAUGAACUCCAUAGGCGAGAAGGUGUGUAAAGCAGCGCCCAAGAAACAGUGCAAGAAGACUGCAGCCAAACCUCAGAAGGUAAAUUUUGAAACGAAACCUGCAGCACAAAAGAAGAAACGACCCAACAAGGCAAGUGCACCGAUGAAAGAUGAUGAGGACGAAGCUGUCGAACUAAAAGAUCGUCUGGCUGUUUAUAAUUUUCAUGACUCCCCUCCAGAACAUAGUGCCAUUAAGACUGAGACUGCAGAAGGACAGCAGGAAGGAAAGAAAGGGAAGAACGAUCCAAGCAAAAGAGGCGUGGCAAACAAGGCCACGGCACCCUUGACCGAGUUGUCUGGUGAGAACGAGGACAACAAGUUUGCUGUCGAAGAAGUGCAAGUUGAGAAGAAAACCGGUGGAAGAAAGCUUGCUGCCCAGAAGCCAAAAAAGACUACCAACAGGAAGAGGGUGCCUGCUCAGAGCAACUCCGGUGAUCCUUCUCCUGAGAAGAAGGUGCGAAAGAUGAGUGACUCCUCCUUCAACAAGAAGAGCAGCUUGGUUGCGCAGACAGCAAUAGAAGAUGCUGAGGCUCCUCUUCCCUCCGGCAGCUCUGCUCAGCCUGUAGCACCGAGAAGGUCAGCGAGGCUUAAGCAUGUGCGAUAG